UCUUUCUUAGUACUUUAUUUUAGUUACAUGUAGAAAACUUGGUUGGUAGCUAGAUCACAGAUACCAUUUCAGCCAUUCUCAGAGCUUUCAGGUCAUACAAAGGGGAAUUCAGUAGAUAUGGCUUAUGCUAGUGUUGCUUCUUGAGAUCCAAAUUUGUGACUACAGAGAAGAAUUUCUCGCUCGUCGUGAAGAAGUUAGUUAGUUCCUUACAAAUAUUUCUCAAGAGCUUAUGAGAAAAGCAAGGAUUCUGGGGAAAUGAUAGAUUUGGUAGCACAAAUAAAAGAAGCUGCGAAUGUUGUUGACGCACAAUUCAAUUGAGGCUAACAAAAGCUCUAUUGUCAAAUGAUAUAAUGCAGAAAGAAAAGGCACAUGAAACGCUUUGUGUUAGCCUGCAACAAGUAGAAGGAGAUAUUGAUCGAGUCCAGAAAGAGUCGAUAAAGAUUCAAGAUAAAGGAAAACAAACAUCAAACAAAUCUUUGGUUCAAGAUUCAAGUUCAGCAAAACAUAUUCUACUUAUUAAGAACAACAUGGUGGGACGUAAUGAUGAAACAAGAUCGUUAGAAGAUCUGACUAGAAUCUUCUUUGGUGAACCCAAAGUCAUCAUGAUUGUCGGCAUGGGAUGUAUCGGUAAGACAAAAGUAGGGAAAGAAGUUUUCAAUGAUUUAUUUAUUCGAUCUCAUUUUGACGUUUGUGCAUGGCAUGAAGUGAGAGAAUGCUUUCCAAGUCAAAAACAAUGGGAGUCGAAUAUUGUUGAUCACCCUUUCCUUAAACUAAAAAGAGUCGACGGACUCUUCUAUUCUACUCUCUAUGGGAAUUCGAAGCUGUGAGGACGACCCGCGCACUUAGUUCCUUUCGUUCCUGGAGAAGGGCCUUUUUCCUCUCUUCCAGCCUACGAAUGUGGUUCCGGAUCUCUUGCAUCAUAUUUGCUACGGCCUCAGGGUCAAGAGGAGGCAAAUGUACCCACUCUCUUCCAAACCGCGAAUAUGAUUCCGGAUCUCUUGCAUCACAUUUGCUACGGCCUCAAGGUCGAGAGGAGGCAAAUGCUCCCCGUCUUUUCCAGACCGAGAAUGUGGGAAUGUGGUUGCGGAUCUCUUGCAUCAUAUUUGCUAUGGUCUCAGGGUCGAAAGGAGGCAAAUGCUCCCAGAACAGUCCUAGCCUUUGUUCCGAUUGGAGCUCGUAAUGAUGAAGUAGCUUGUUAUGCUAGUACGGAGAAUUUUUUUUUACAGAUGGGCUUCAUGAAUCCAAAUGAGAGUUGGAACCUUUUUUAAAGCGUGGUGUUUGCAAAUGAAAUAACACCAUAUGAAUUCGAGACUAUUGGCAAGCAAAUUGUAGACAAAUGUCAAGGGUUACCACUAACUAUUAUUGUGGGCCUGUGGUUCCUGGGCUUCUAUCCAAAUUUGGAAGGAGAAUAAAAGAUUGGGAAGCUGAAAAUGUCUAAGUCAUUUGUCAGUAUUGAUCCUGAUGAACAAUGUUUAUAUGUGCUUGGGUUUGAGUUACAAUCACUUGAUCAGUGACCUAAAAGCAUGCUUUCUGUAUUGUUGGAUAUUUCCCGAAGACAAUGUGAUUUCAGCGUAGAGAUUGGUGAGAUUAUGGAUGGCUGAGGGGUUUCUGAAGUUGGAAAAGACUUGAAAGGAGAGGCUGAAGAAGUAUUUACAAGAUCUUAUCGAUAGAUGUCUAGUUAUCGUAUGCAAGAAUUGUAGGUAUGAAACAAAAAUUAAUUCAUGUAAUGUUCAUGAUCUAAUAUUCGAGCUGUGUUUGAGAGAACUUCAAAGCCAAAACAACUUUUUCGUCAUGAAUGACAUUGUAUUCGGUUAUUGGGAUGCAGAAAAAGCUCAAAGCCAUGAUAUUGUAUUUGAUGAUGAGCCAAAUCCUGAUCCUUCAGAAUGUCAUCAUCUUAGUAGGUAUAAAAUGCGGCCUUUUAAGCAAUGGGCUGAUGAUAAUAGGUACUUUGAUUUUUAUAGGGCCAUUCCUACCCCUGGAAAUCAUCAGUUGAUUAGGAGGCAAAAGAUAAUGAUGAAAACAACCUCUUCAAACGAACUCGUUCUAUUUUCUCUUGUCCUACCUUAUCAGAAAACCAAAAAAGAGAAAUAUUCGGUUCUUAUAGGUUUUCUUUAUCAUUUACUCUCAACUCAGAGCUUUGUCAUGUCAAUUUACUCAGAAUCUUGGACUUUAAGUUGUUUGAAAGCUGCUUGUGGAGUAUCCAAUUGCAAGGGGAUUUACUUGUUUGGUGUUUUUGCGAAUUGAGAUGAUUGAUCUGAUGUACCGGAAAACCACUUAUGACAAUUUUCCUGUCAUUAUUAGAAAUUGCAAUAAUUUGGAAGAGAUACCCAUUGAGUUUGCAGAUAUCAACUCACUACAACUAAUUGAGAUAAAAUGGUGUGAGCCCGAAAUCGAGGCCAUUGAGCUCCUCUUUGCCUGUCUGCUUCAGGCGGAAGAGAUGGCUCAGACAUCAUGCUGAGAAUUCUCCUAUUUUCAUGUAGUUAGAAUAUCUUGGUAAGUAUGAUAUUGGAGCUAAUAUCCUCCCAUUCUGUAACUCAUUCACAACAACAACGACGACCAAUUGUAUUCCACCAAGUGGAGUCUGAGGAGGGUGAGAUGUACGCAAUCUUACCCCUACUCUGGACGGGCAGAGAGGCUGUUUUCGAUAGACCCUCAGCUCUGUAACUCAUUCAUCCCUAGACCAAAUAUUGCAAUGGGUUCUUUGGUAGCGUUACAUGUUUGUCUCAACCCAAGCUUAGGUGAGAAUUCGUCACUCGUCACCAUAAGGUCACGAGCUCAAGCAGUACAAACAGUCUCUUGCAGAAAUGUAAGAUAAGGUUGCGUCCAAAUAAUCCAAUAUAUCCAAUGUGGUCCGGUGAUUCUUCAGGCCUCGCACAUAGCAAGAGUUUAGUACAUCGGAUUGUCCUCUUGAUAGGCUCGAAAAUCUCAUCCGGAGCUAGAAAAUAUUUUUAUGGAUCAAUAAGCAAUGUGUAGUGUCAUCAUCUGAUAAAUGUGAAAUUAGUAGUUACUUUUAACAAAACGAUUCCUCAUUUUGAUUAUCGUUUAAUUUACAGGCAAGCACUUGUAGUCUUACAUUGUAAGAGAGAGUUAACAUGAUGUCAUAGUAAAGGAAGAAUCUAA